CCUACGGGAGGCAGCAGUGAGGAAUAUUGGUCAAUGGACGCAAGUCUGAACCAGCCAUGCCGCGUGCAGGAAGACGGCUCUAUGAGUUGUAAACUGCUUUUGUACGAGGGUAAACGCAGAUACGCGUAUCUGUCUGAAAGUAUCUUACGAAUAAGGAUCGGCUAACUCCGUGCCAGCAGCCGCGGUAAUACGGAGGAUUCAAGCGUUAUCCGGAUUUAUUGGGUUUAAAGGGUGCGUAGGCGGUCGGAUAAGUUAGAGGUGAAAUCCCGAGGCUCAACUUCGGAAUUGCCUCUGAUACUGUUCGGCUAGAGAGUAGUUGAGGUAGGCGGAAUGUAUGGUGUAGCGGUGAAAUGCUUAGAGAUCAUACAGAACACCGAUUGCGAAGGCAGCCUACCAAGCUACUUCUGACGUUGAGGCACGAAAGCGUGGGGAGCAAACAGGAUUAGAUACCCUUGUAGUC
rnacentral:rRNA from 1 species